rnacentral:lncRNA from 1 species
AUAGACGAGAGUAUAGUCUGAAGGGAAAAAAUGAUAUGCUCUCAAGUCUCAAGGGUGUGCAAGAACAGUGAGAUUUAUAUUACUGAACAUAUUGUUAACAAUUUGUUAUUUUGCAGACUUGCUCUCAGUUUUUAUUCUUGGCAGGUGAUUCUUCAUGAUAAUUUUUCGUAGAGGAACAUUUUUGGUAAGUGUAUUGUAAUAUUGACUCCCACCUUUUUAUUUACAUGUAAAGAUAACCAAUUGGAAAUUUUAAAUUUUAAAUGUACAUUUAACUUAUUUUAUGAAAUAACAUCAUGUCGUUCAGAUAAUUUGAUUUCCCUCUAUGAUAUUCUUUGGCUUUAGUAUAUCUUAGGACAAAGUUGUCAGAAGUUCUAUGCUUCAUAACCAAAACAUAAUCUCCUUUUUGUUAUUUGAUUUGCAUCAUGAUGUGCGCCCAUAUGUUCCCCUGUCACUUAAAAAAAAUUAAUGCCCGAUGCAACACACGUGCAUAUACCUAUCAUGACAAAUAAACCUCAUCAUGAAAGCAUUUAUGUACCUAUUUAAUUUGCAAUGGCAGGGUGGCGCCGGGAACGGGGAUCGGUGGUGCUGGUGUCGGUGUUGCGGUACAAGGCAGGAUGCGGGACAGGACGGCCAUCCGUGUGAGGCAGUCGGCGGCGAGGGUUUGUGGCAUCAGGAGGAGCGCCCGCGACACCUCCAGAUUCAAGGUGUUGGCCCGCGAC